rnacentral:rRNA from 1 species
UGUUGCACGCCAUGCGGAUUGACACGACUCUCGGCAAUGGAUAUCUCGGCUCUCGCAUCGAUGAAGAGCGCAGCGAAAUGCGAUAUGUGGUGCGAAUUGCAGAAUCCCGUGAAC